CAAUGUGCCAGGCUCUGUCCUAAGCACUGUAACAGUCCUUCAAUUCUCGCCACAUUUCUGGGAGAUGUGCUCCAGUUAUUCAGAUCAUCAUAUUUCAGAUGAGAAGAUGGCAGCAGACAAGGUGCUGAGACCCAGCACCUGCACAUGCUAGGCAAGAGCAACUCCCAGCCCAAGACCUUACUACAGCUCUUUCAGGUUUCUGGCCUUCUGCAAUCACCUGUGAUCUCUGGCUUCUAAUCCCAUGGUUUGGUUUCUGGGAGAAUCUAGCUUCCUGCAGUUUAGUUAGCCCCUGCUCUCCUUCAGUUCCAGAGGAACCUGGUUCAAUCACAUUAAUGGAGCAUGUCUCCACUGAGUGUACUGUGGUAGUCAGUGUCAAACUAUUCCCAGAUGAACUCUUCAUCAAUGCUCAAGUCUCCCUGGAAAGAUAUCAUGGGCAUGAGUGGAGGAGAAAUGAUGAAACCCUCCUUGCUUUCCUCUUUCAUGUAAGGAAGACAUUUGAUCA